rnacentral:rRNA from 1 species
CAGUAGCCGCGGUAAUACGAGGGGGGCAAGCGUUGUUCGGAAUUAUUGGGCGUAAAGGGUGCGUAGGCGGCUUGAUAAGUCUUGUGUGAAAUCUAUGGGCUCAACCCAUAGUCUGCACAGGAAACUGUCGGGCUUGAGAGUGGGAGAGGUGAGUGGAAUUUCCGGUGUAGCGGUGAAAUGCGUAGAUAUCGGAAGGAACACCUGUGGCGAAAGCGGCUCACUGGACCAUUUCUGACGCUGAUGCACGAAAGCUAGGGGAGCAAACAGGAUUAGAUACCCCCGUAGUCCCUGUCUCUUAUAC